UACGAAGGGGGCUAGCGUUGCUCGGAAUGACUGGGCGUAAAGGGCGCGUAGGCGGAACAUACAGUCAGAUGUGAAAUUCCCGGGCUCAACCUGGGGGCUGCAUUUGAUACGUGUGAUCUAGAGUGAGGAAGAGGGUCGUGGAAUUCCCAGUGUAGAGGUGAAAUUCGUAGAUAUGCGGAGGAACACCAAUGGCGAAGGCAACCCCUCGGGCCGUGCACUGACGCUCAUGCACGAAAG
rnacentral:rRNA from 1 species